rnacentral:tRNA from 1 species
UAGACUGAAGCUCGCUGGAUUGAGUUUUUAAUUGUUAAUUAAAUUGUCGUGGGAUAGAGGCCCACUAGUCUAA